GUCCGGCCGUUGUUGGCUGAAGUCGUUUGUAUUUAUUUAUUUAUUUAUGUUAUUUACGAUGUUCAGAUGUGAUUUUUAGUGAUCUAUGAUGUGAACAGUUUCUAUUCUGUCCUGUAAAUAAAAUAAAUCAGUUUAAUUUUUGCUGAACCCUGAGUGAAGACAGCGGCUCUGAGAAUGGGGUCGGAGUGGAACGUUUAGGUCAUCAAUCCACUCUUGUUUCUCUUCAGAUCGUAUAAAUCUUUCGCCUUUUACUAAAGAUUUCCGUGGAGAGGAACAACAAGAGUAUAACUCAAUUUUUUGUUGCUCUGCGCAAGCGGAGCGUUCUGAUGAUGUACAAAAGAAAUGCAUGUAAUAUCUUGGGGUGAAGAUGACGACCCCAGUCAUUCACGUUGUCAACCCUGGGGCACCUGUAGACCAACAGCAGGCAGUACUGAUGGCAACCAACGAGGCAAGGUGUUACAGAGACGGGCAGAGGGUCUUCCCUAUACCUCCACAGGAGCUGCUGUACCAGGCAUCUGCCCUGACUAAUGCUGAGAGGCUCCUGUGAGCAGAGAGCGCCUCUAUGCCCUCACGCCAGCUGUGCCUGGGCUAGUGGUGCCGUUUGGACAGUAUAUGAAUGCUCCAUUCCACUGGCUUGUGGCAAAUGAUGUGGGCUACAUGAAAUAGUAAGCAUGUAUUAUUUAUUACCAUUGUAGGCUACAAUAUAAUACUGUUAUGCUUCAAAUAGAUUACCUGUAAAACUCUUCCUUUUUCAGUGUUCAUGACUCAACUUCUUUAUUUAUCACAGUUGCAGUGACAAUAAUGAUGACUGUGCUAAGAAUAGAAUAGAAUAGAUCUUUAUUGUCACUGUUACAGAAAACAAUGAACAUCAUUUUAGCACUCUCCGAAUAGCAGCAUUAAAAAUAAACUAGAUAACACACCCUAAAAAAUAUUUAGAACAUAAGAGCAAAUAUACAGUAUGGAAAUAGUUUGUGGUUAGAGACCUGCUCUACACAUGUCUAUUGCACAUGAUAUGAAUAACAUGAAUAAGCUAUUAAUUAUUAGUCUUAAUGUGACUACAGCAUACUUGACAAGCACAGAGCAGAGGUCAGAGAUCUACACAGAAAGGGAGAAAUUGGAAACAAGUGGAUCAAAGACUACUUGGCUGAGUAUGCCGAAAGUUUCUCCCAGGUCUCCACGAUCCUCGAGGCCAACAUUGACCCGUGCAUCUGUGGCCAGAAAGGGUUUGAGACUCGAACCUUUCAGGAGAUGUGGGAACUCUACAGCCAGUACACCACCCAGAAGAACAGGCCAGAGCAGUUCAGCUGUGAACAGAGAGAGAGAGGAUGGUGAAGGCAUCCAAUUCUGUGAGGAGGUGGUUGAACACGCCCGUGACCCAUAUCACAAGCGUGCAGAUGAAAAGAUUCCAGAAAUAUAUUAAUGACAAGGAACAACAACAUCUGGCAAGGACCUCCAAAUCUCAUCUUCCACCAUGGUCAGAUGAUGAUGCGCAAUUAAUAGCUGCAUGCCAGUCUGUGGAAGGUAAGCAGGAGACAGAGUAAAUGAUCAUCACACAUUCAUUUUUAGAAAGGAAACUACUAACAAUAUAAAACUGCCUUAUUUGGAAACUUCUCAGACUCAAUCCGGUCAAAGCAGCCCAAUUCUGCCGUCCAGCCUGCCGUCCAGCCUGCCGUCCAGCCUGCUUUCGAGACCACUGUGCAGCACAAGCAGCACAAACAACACAAGCAGACAGCCACAGUGUUACCACCGACAAGUCAGCCCACUGUGUUCUCGUCCACAGGCCAGCCCACAGUGUCGUCUACAAGCCAGGGUCAUGAUUAUCCCCUGGAAUCACCUGAUUUGCCACUAAGUGAUAUUCAUAUUAUAUGCAAUCAAUCUAACGGUGUUUUAAAAGGUGGAGCUAGAGGGCUGGGUGCGUCGGUGGGAAGAUCCCAACUGCAUUCCAUCAGUAGACAUACACUGGCUCAAAGAGGACACGGAGAGAGGGCUGUUCACCGCUGUACAAAUGUACAAGGACAGCAAAGGCCUACUGAAGAGGCAGGAGGAUUGUGCGCUGUAUGGAACCUCAAUGCAUGACAAAAAAAAAUGAAGAGCUUCUUGCAAAAAAUGUCUCUGAAACAUUUUCUUUGAAGAUGCCACACCAUACCUGGCACCUGAAGAGUGGAAUAUUCCAUCAUGAACACACUGCUGAAGAGCUGGGAGCUGCAUGUGUCUGUCUGUGUUGUAAAAAAAAAAAAAAAAAAAAAAAAAAAAAAAAAGACACUGUUAAUAUAAAUACGAUACAUCAAAUUUUAAAUCAAAAAUAUCAGAUGAUUUAGCACAUACAGGAAUAGAGACAGUAGCUUUAUUGAGAAAGUAUUGAAUUAGAUAUAAUCAGCCUCUCAAAAUUCAGAAGGGCCUUCAAAACCUUUGGCAAAUCAAAUGACACUCAAGGUCAGACAAGGCAUUGUCGCAAAUGUUCCAUCUAGAUGGAAAGAUCUGUAAUGCAUUGAUUCUUGAUUGCAGAUGUCUUAUUUUGGUGACACAUCCUGUUUUAUUUAUUAUAACUUGCAAACCUUUUAUUUUAGUGAACCACACCUUUGCAUCAUUGAUACUUUCCCACUAUAGACUCUCAUCCAAUCCCAUCAUCCGCAAUUUGCACUACUAUCCAGCAAGCUGUGGUGACCUCUGAAGAGAUAUCUGAACAGAUAAGAAGAACAUCUUUUGUAUUUUCUUUGUACAUGAUCAGAAAGCCCCGCUUGCGCAGAGCAACAAAAAAUUGAGUUAUACUCUUACUGUUCCUCUCCACGGACUAAAAAUAUUUUAAAAACAAAUAGAAAAAGAAAUCCCACUUGACCAAGUUGAAUGUUAGAUGCAAAACUGUCAGGACCAACUGAUAGCAGCAUGAAAAAUAAAUAACAAAGAAACACAAUACAGACAAUAUGUGCAACAUGGAACAUGCAGAAAGUAGUAUUUAGGUUGAAAAAUGGCCGAAUAGAAAGUAGUAUUUAGGAGGACUAGUACUUUUAAAACCUUAACUUCUUGGUCAGAAAGUAGUAUUCAAAUGGAACAAACCUUUCGUGUUUCAACACAAAACAGUAUUUUUAAGUGUAAUAAAACUUUAAAACUACUUUAUUCAGUCAGAAGGUACUUCAUGGGUGACACUGAUCUUAUACUACAAUACUCCUACUACUACUAAAAUACUACUUAUAAGAUACUAUAAGUAGUAUUUUUAGAGGAAUUCACCUUUAAAUUCAUAUUUCUUGUAUUUUCUCAAUCAUUUAUCUCAUCAAGAAAAUCAGCCAGGAUGCAUUUAAACAUAAAACACUAAAAACAUUAUUUUUAAAGUAUUUUUUAAAACUUGAAUUAUUUAUUUAGUUGCUUUUAUUCUUGCAUUUUGUCCACCUAUAUGUUAUGUUGUAAUGUCACACAGCAUUUUUAAGUACAAUUAAUUAACUUAAAGCUCGUGUCCGGAGUUUCCGUUUGUUUUCAAUUUAUGUAUCAUUGUUUAACAAAGCUUAAAUGUGUUAGUCUAGUUCGAUACUAUAAUAUAAUGUUAGUAUGACGUGAUAUGAAAAUGUAUUCUUGAGGUCCGCCUUCCUCUCAUAGACCCCCAUGUUAUUCCAAAAAGCGCCGGUCGCUGCCGACCAAUCAAGUUCAAGCUUCCGCUUUGUCAUGCUGUCAAUCAACGGUUACGCGCACAGCAAGCAAGCCCAUGCAGAGGUGGGCGAGCUACGCACUACGCAACCGCGCGCACAUUUGUUUUGCUUGUGGAGGAGAGAGCAUCAGGGAUCAGCAACUUCCAGAAAAGUUACCAAUCCCACGGCUUGUCAGGCCAAGAGACUGCAGGACGUUUUUUGGCUCGGGGUGCUCGCGUCGCUCCCCGACCACGGCCUCCAUAGCCCGCCUCACGGCUUCGUUUAGAUGCCCGACCUCUGGAGGAAGAUGUUGGGGCGUCUGGGACAUACUCUUCAUCAGAGGAGUCAUGCAAUUCUGAACUCUAGAUAGAAAUAAAUAAACAAUGUAACACAUG